UGCAUGACAGCUGAGCAGGAUAACUGGGAGAGAAGACGAGGCUAAGCUUUAAAAUGCUGAGAGACUUGAAAUACAGACUACAGUCCUGUUAGUUACCCUCAGAUAAGGAAGCUUUUUUACUAAUUACU